CUCUACUAUGCCCAGAACCAAAGAUAUCAGCCUUCAAGCAGCUGGUACCUGCUCAAGCUCCACACGUCUAAUAUCAAGUUUUAUAUAUUUGUUGGUUAAUUGCUCUGGCUCCUGAACUCUGAUCCCCAAGUCCCCAGUUCCUCCUGACAGCCCAAAGUUCCUGAUAAUGCGUACACCCCUUCUGGGGGUUUAUGUUCCUCUAUAGUAAUCCCCUAAUCUUUCUCAGACAUAGAGCAACACCUGGCAGAGCAAACCAUCAUUGUCAGCAACUAAUGCAGGCUUCUGCAGCCAAUGCAUUGCAAAGUUAAAAGCAACAAAUGUGUUAACCUACAGCGCACAUGUAAUUACUUUCCACCUGUUUGUUUAUGAGACCUGCUAACAGACAUAAAAUAAGAAAGGGCAUUCACUUACGUGUCCCAAGGCGUCAGAAUAUUUAGACAAUUUGUUAGAAAGAAAAAGAGACUUCAUUGAGUUUUAUUAGUUUACUUCUGAUCCCAGUGCACUGAAAUAUGACAAACAGUAGCAAGGAUAGGAGGAUAACAGCAGUCAGCAAAGUGGGAAGUAGUGGGAAUUGCUGUGUAACGCUUUCCAGGAACAAAAUAGUUAAACAUUAUCAAAUUUUUAAAUAUAUACAGCAGAUUCCCUGCAUAGCUCUAGUUUAUUUCUAAUACCUGGUAACGUGCCUUGUAGCUUCAUCCAGAAAGGCUGGAGAAAUUCUCCAAAGUGAUUUGAUAAUUGAGUGCUAAUUGAACAACUUUGUUGGGUAAUUCCGAUCACCCCGUAAACCCUCAUACCCAUGGUAAAUGAAAGAAAAUAUAAAGUUUAUUUUUAAACAGCUGAUUUGAACACCGUUUUACACAUGCUUGGAAGGGAAUCCAUUUCAUCCAAACCACAUCCAUCUCCAUCUGCCCAAUAGUUUUACAAAAUAAAUCAUUUUAAAAAUGGUUUAGAUGCAUUUGUUUGAAUAUAAGAAUUCUUAAAGCCUGUAUGCUGCUCUGCGGAAUAAACCUUUCAUAUUCAUUUGAUUAAUUUGCCUGGUAGCAUACAUUAGCCAAAAUUGGGAUUCAGUUAUUUAGAGUAUUCUUCAAUGCGAAAGAGCACAAAUACCCUUAUCCCAAUAUAAUCCAAUCAUUUUCCUGUCCACUAUGGAUAGGCUGAGAUUCAUUGCCUUGUGCCAGGGUCAUUGCCUCAGUUGAUUCUCUGGAUCUAACUUACUGCACCUAAACAUUGACCCUUAUAGGAAAAGUCUAUUCCACCCAGGUUUCAGCAAUAAUUUACAUAUGUUAACCACAUUGAAUUCUAAAAUAAAAUGGUCAUGGUUUACACAGAUGUGUUGUCUCAUGCUUAAACUGAGAGUAUGUGAUUUAUUUUAGAAUGAUUACUCAUCAGCUUACCCUGGAUCCUUAGAUGAUACAUCUUUCGUUUAUUCUUUUUGUCCAACCUAGUCAUGUUUAAGCAAAUUCUAGGUCCAGAAAUUUUUUUCACUGGGGAAUCAUUGGUCUUUAACCCUUUCACAGUCAGCUACAUAUUAUUGGUACAGUAUGAGUAAACAAAUGUAUCAUAAGUUAUUUGAAAGUAUCAUAUCUGCGUAAAUUCUCAGUCUUUGUGAGGAGUAUAAAUGUAAAAUAGGUAUGCGGAGAAAUAAAUGUGAAAAUUAGAAUGUUUACUGUAGUAUGAAAAAUAUUCCUA